CGGGUAGGCCCUCUGGCUCCCUGGCUCCGGCCCCCUCCCAGCCGUCCCGGCGGAGAACAGGAGGGAGAGGGGCUUCUUGGAAUUCAGUGGAACAGCUCCAGAAUGGCCCGGUCAGACAUUCCAAGAUCUUGGAACCUUAGCACCUCUGUGUGCCAGCCCUGGAGGGGUCACGCAUAGUUUUCUAUUCCAACCCGUUCGUUCUACAGUUGGAGAAACUGAGGCCCUGAGAUAGGUAGAAACUGGUGGUCCAGAAGUUAAUCAGCACGUGUUGCAUGAACGAAUGGAUGAGCGGGCCUCCCGCAGGCCAACUCUCACCCAAGGAAAUCUCCCCGGCAGAGAAGGCAAGCUGGAGGGACUUCUGUGCUGGGCAGGAUGCCUACCUGCCUUCUUCCCUGAGACAAUGUCCAUCGGCCCUGCUGCUACCCAGAUGGAUUCAAGAACUCGAAAAUGUCUCAAGUUCAGGCCCAAAAAGUAAAAUUUUCCAUGGCUAGCUACGCACAGUCUGUAGUAAUAAUGCUAUAAUAGCCUGCAUUUCAUGAACACCCACUAUGUGCCACAUGCCAUGUGUGAGGACAUCAUCUCACCGAAUUCUUGUGGACACAGGUAAAAUUAUUACCAUCACCUGUGUCUUCCAGAUAGAGAAACUGAGAAGCAGAGAAGGAGUAAGUAAUUUGCCCAACCUCAAACAGCUAGGAAGUGUCAGAGCAGGAUUUGAACACAGGUCUGGGAUCCAAGGGCUAUUGUACUGAAUAUGCCACUAUUCCCUCCCUGUUAGAGACCCCCAGCCUCUCACUGGGGUCUUUGCUUCCGGUUCCCCCAGUGCCCUUGGUGCUUGGACCCCAGUUCUCUCAAUGCACUGGAAUCCCCUGGCACUCCCCGGGGGUCCUGAGAGGCAGCCUCAUAUGCUGGCAUCUAGGAUAGAGCUCCACCGCUUGGCCCCCAGUGCCUCUUGGCCCUGCUCCCUGCCCUUUGCAUCCCCUCCCUGAGGUCCCAGUGCCUGCUCCAGGAGCUUGGGGAUGUCCCCGGAAGUCCUUUGAGGCAGAGGCUUCCCCUGGCUGCCUGACUUCUCAGAAACAGAUAUCACCUGUCACCUCUGUCUCUCUGUGAAACAAGAGCCCAUCUCCCAGGGCAGCCGUGUUGCUGGGCUUUUCUUCUAAGGGACAGUGCAGCCCAGCCCCCACUGCCUCCUGGCCCUGGCUAGACAGCUCCAAGCCAGGGAUGCUCACUAAUGACGGGGAAGAGGCUUGCCUCGGUUUCCAUGGCAACGGCUGCGUGCUCCGCUUAGUCAAUCACUCUCUGAAUCUCCUGCUGGUCUGAGAGUUAUUUUGCAUAGACAUGCUUCACUCUUACCCAGGAACUCUGCACUGGCUCUUCAGAUCCUUCCAGAUAGUUUAUAAAGUUGAUUUUCUCUUUCCUUCCUCAGUCGAAGUUCCUUUAUCUUGAAAGCUCAGCUCAAAUCCCACCUCUUCUAAGAGACCUUUCCAGGUCCCCUCCUCUCACCCCUCCCCAGGUGGAGUCAAUCUUCUGCACCCCGAGCUCCCCUGGGGCAUGUUUAUGGCUCUCUUAGAUCACAGUCUGCCUGUUUCACAGUUAUUUAUGUGUCUCCCUCUGAGCCCCUGGUGAGUGAUCAGCCCAUAGUAGGUGCUAAACAAACAUUUGUUUGAAUUUAUUUGAGUUUCCCUUUCAGGGUUUUAAAAAAUUACUAUUAUUAACAGUACAGACCCUUACUAAUAAUCCCUAUGCUUGUAAAAUUAUUUACAGUUUAUAUAUAGCUUCGUGCUCGAGGGCUUUAAACUUUAAACCCCAGCUCCUCCCUUGUGAGCUCUGUGACAACGUACAAGCCCAGUGACUGUUCUCAGCUUGCUUCUCGUCCGUAAAAUGGAUUGUUGUAAAUAUUAAAAUAAACGCGUAAAGAGUUUACUUAGCACAGGGCCAGAUGCUCGCGAUGCCUCAGUGAAAUGUUAGUCAUUAUUCUAACCACGGUCUCAUUUGGACCCCACCAGAGCUCUAGGAUGAGAAGAAGGGCAGGGUUUUUGUCAAUGUUGUUCUUGUUGCCCAGGACACGCGAGAAGGCUGAGGCUCGGAGACGGGAAGGUUGGCCUAAGUGUUCAGACCUCUGCCGAGUGCUACGGUGGGCGCCCGUUGUCAGCCUCUCCCCUUUCCUGGCACUGGAAGCUGCAUUUCCCUGUGCAGAGCCAUUCCUUUCUCCUGGUGGGUCCACUCCGAGGCAGGCUUGGCUAAUCAGAGCAUCAGAUGUCCCUGGCCACAGUGAUUAGUAUAGGGACAGGCGAGGGGACCCAGCUCAAAGGGAGUCCAGUGAGACUCACUUCUGAGGUUUUAUUUGCAUUUCUGAGAGCAAGAUUGUCUCUUCACUGCUGGACUGGAAGCCUAACUCUAGGCUGACUCUAGGGGCCAACUCUAACAGAGAGGAAGGCCAAGUGCAGAGGUAAAGACAGAUUCAUCGUAUUGUCAUUUGAGCCGAGGAAUUCCGAACAAACAACUCUGCAGACUUUGGCAAUGGGAAUGAGUACAGUCCUUCCAUCUUGCACCAGGUUGCACUGGUGUCGGUCACCUGCAACUGAACAAGUACCAGCUAUUGCAAAUAUCCUGUCUCCUCCACACUGAGGUCAGGGGUCUCUCCAUUGUGUUCGUUCACACGACAAACACUGAGUACUUGCUAUGUGCCAUCUACUACUUCCCAGGGCUGAGACUGCAGGGAUGGGCAAGACAAACCACCCAGCCCUUGGGGUGAGCUAAUAGUCCAUUGUCAUCCCAUUUGACAUAGGAAGAGACUGAGGCUCAGAGAGGGGGACAUUGCCAAAGUACGUGUCCUUCAAAUGAUUCAGGGUGCCAUGGUUCAGAAUGAGGCUGGCCAGGAGCUGGGACAGGCAGCUGGGACUGGCCAGUCACUGUCAGGAAGAUCUGGUUGAGGCAUUCAUGAGUUUCUGCUUAUCCCAGGUCAAAGCAGGAAGGUUCUGGACCCAAGCAAGAGGUGGGACACAGAGGCUGAGACUCUGGACCCCCAGCUCUAUCACUCCUGACAGGGGAUGUUUUCCUGGGAACAGUGUGGUCUGUUUUGGGGGUCUGAUUUGGGGGAUUUGACUCCCAUGCUCCAGGCUGAGUGGCUAGCCUCUCCUCCUGGGCUAUAACUCGAUUAUUAAAGGCUCUCCAGCCUCAGGAUUAUCCCAAGAGGAAACUUCUUCUCCUGGGAUCUCUCACUACACUUGUCAAAGUGAAAGGCCCAUUUUCCAGCCCAAGCUGAGACAAGUUUUUCUCCUCCAUCUGAUGACUCAGCCCCUGGGAGAGACCAGUCUCUCCAGGGCUGGGCCCCUUGGGGAGACUGUGAUGUCUGAAAGUUGGAUGUGCUUUCAGCUUGCUUUGUUUGUCUCUGCCUCAUCUGGAUCUAGAGUCUGACAUAUAAUAGAUGAAUGCGUUUUUCUCGAAUGAAUGUUUGUGGGUUUUGGUUUGCUUGUUUACUUGUGUGGGGUUUUCCGAAGGAGAGAGUGUGCCCAUCCCGAGGCAAGCUGACUGUGAAGCUAGUAAGGUUUAAGCAUCUGGAUCCUUCCCCAGCACCGGCCCCUCUCUAAGCCCUGGGAGGGGCCCCAGCCAUGGUCAUGUGCUUCUAUAAGAUUUACACGAGGCAUUUGAACUGCAAUCAGUUGAGAUCACUCACUUUUUCCAUGCUGCCCUCCUUACUGUCAGGUCUUCCUUUUGUCCAAUGCCUUUAGAGUAGCUGUGGAAUUUGGGGGAUCUGGCUAAGGAGAAGUGGAAUUGGUGAUACCUUUAGUUUGCAUCUGGCGGCCGUCUAGGUUUUGCAUAUAGUUCAGUCAACUGUUUCAGGAUAGGAAUGUCCUGAAGGACCCCCUUGCUGUCUACCGAGCCCACUCACCUGGCAUAAAGACUCAGAGAUGAGGGCUCCGAGCUGCAUGGCGCCAUGAACCUGUCCUCCAGGAGCUGGCCACAGAACUGUGUGUGCUGGAGAGGAGGGCUUGUUUGAAAUCUAGGAAGCUGGAAGCGAGGCUAUAGAAAGUUCUUCUGAUGAUUGUAAGCAGAUAAGCCUUCCCUUCUUUUUUUGUGUCUUAUGGUUGAACUGCAUCCCUCUGAAAAGCUCUGUUGUUGUCCUCAUUGCCGGUACCUCAGAAUGAGACCUUAGUUGGAAAUAGGGUCUUCUUGGAGAUAGUCAAAUUAAAACGAGACCCUUAGAAGGGGCCUUAAUCUGAUAUAAUUGUGGUGACCUUAUAAAACGGGGGAGGUUUGGACCCAGAGAUGGACAGACAGGGAAACCCCAGGUAGAGAUGAAGGCAGAAAUCAGGGUGAUGCUUCUACAAGGCCAAGAACACCGAAGACUACCAGCAGAGCCCUAGAAGCCAUGAGAGGGGUCUGAACCAGAUUCUUUCUCACAGCCCCCAGAACGAACCGAUACUGCCAACACCUUGAUCGCAGACCUCUAGCCUCUAGAACUGGGAGACAAUACAUUGCUGUGGUUUAAGCCCCACAGCAUGGAACAUGGUUAUGGAAGUCCCAGUAAACAAAUCCACAUGGGAAACAAAAGUCAUCAGAAGACCUGUGUGUGUGUGUCCCAAACCUGGGGCAACACCACACAUGGUGAGAACAUCCAUGUGUGAAGUCCCAUGUUUCGUGCAUCCCAACUAGCACAAAUCAAGAGGAAAAAUCCAGUUAACCCUGCAAGAAGGAGGAGCCGAUUAUCUUUCCAUUUUCUUUCCAGGAGCAUACCUUAGAUGACACCAGUGCCCUGCCCCCCACCCUCCAAGAACUACACGGCUCCCACCAUCUGGAACUUUCUCUCAUUGUCUGCAGCUAGGACUUCCCUACCUCCACCCCAAGGGCCUCCUCCCAUUACCUGUGUGUGCUCUCCCACAUCAUAUUUAGAAAACAACCGGCUGGGCUCUGCUUCUAUGGGCCCAGACCUCAAAUUGGAGAUUCUAGAGGUUUAAGGGGUAGAGUGGCCUGAACCCUGUCCCCCAAACCACCCUUCCUUGUCAGUUUCCAUUCCUUCCCCCAGCCCAGAAAACCAAAUCAGAGUUCUUUCCUCUCAGACCCUGAAGGAAUAUUGCCUUCAUGUUUGGCCCCAGGCGAACAUUCUCAAUUACCCUGGAAAGGCCAUCUAAACAUUGGCGAUUCUGCUGGGUUUUUCUUUCCACCUUUUCCUCCUCCUUCCCCUGGCCUGGCCUCCAGCCUCUCUUCCAUAUUCCGUGCCCCACGGUGUCCUCAGAGGAACCCAGCUCUCCCUCUUCCUCUGCAACCCACCUCCCACCCACACUUACCACCAGCCUCCUUUCUCUUAUCAGAUGACCGGCCACUCGGAUUGUUUUUCUUAGGCGUCUGUCUGAGGCUCUUGGCUAAGGAUGUGGGCAGAAGCAGAGGGAAACUAUAGGGUGGUUCAUCUGUAGCAGCCAGGUAGGGAUUCAGGGGCUCACCAUGCAGAGGGUUCUAGAACAACCUCGAGUACAACUUUACUCAUCAAGAUUCUGGACUUGGCACUGAAAAAAGGGGAUUGAUCAGGACCCUUGGAGAGACAGAAACCCAUCUUGCCAGCUUAAUGCAAGAAAGGGGAGUUUUUUGACUGAUGGAGCCAUGAGGAAGAAGAAGGAGGGGGCGCCUGGGUGGCUCAGUGGGUUAAAGCCUCUGCCUUCAGCUCAGGUCAUGAUUCCAGGGUCCUGGGAUUGAGCCC